AAUAAGACCGUUUUUUAGUUUUUGAUACAAUGUUUUUACUCUUCGUCUUAUUUGAAAUUUUUUACAAUUAAUAUUUUUAUUCUUAUUAGAUGGUAAAACAUGAAUAAUACUUUAUGCGUGACUAUUUUUUAAAGUUUUUUAUAAUUUUUUCAAAUAAGACGAAUGGUCAAACGUUAGACACGAAAAA
rnacentral:pre_miRNA from 1 species